GCACUGCCGACGAGUCCCAAACAAGAUGAAACAGCAGUCCAGUGC
rnacentral:hammerhead_ribozyme from 1 species